rnacentral:rRNA from 1 species
CCUACGGGUGGCAGCAGUGGGGAAUAUUGGACAAUGGGGGGAACCCUGAUCCAGCCAUGCCGCGUGUGUGAAGAAGGCCCUCGGGUUGUAAAGCACUUUCAGUGAGGAAGAAUGCCUGGUGGUUAAUACCCAUCAGGAAAGACAUCACUCACAGAAGAAGCACCGGCUAACUCCGUGCCAGCAGCCGCGGUAAUACGGAGGGUGCGAGCGUUAAUCGGAAUUACUGGGCGUAAAGCGCGCGUAGGUGGCUUGAUAAGCCGGUUGUGAAAGCCCCGGGCUCAACCUGGGAACGGCAUCCGGAACUGUCAAGCUAGAGUGCAGGAGAGGAAGGUAGAAUUCCCGGUGUAGCGGUGAAAUGCGUAGAGAUCGGGAGGAAUACCAGUGGCGAAGGCGGCCUUCUGGACUGACACUGACACUGAGGUGCGAAAGCGUGGGUAGCAAACAGGAUUAGAUACCCGUGUAGUC